UCGACCAUGGGGAUCAUGAAUUAAAAAAGAAUAAAAUAAAAAGUGAAAUCUUAAAAAUGACAUUUUUUAUAUUAUUUUAAUUUUUGGUAAGGCAUGCUUAUUACCGUCCAUCUUGAUAACGGAGGUUUGAUAUGUCACUGGAUGCAGCCUAAUAACUACAUUCCCCAACGCAUCAAAUAUGUUAUCUAUUUUUAGUUCCGAAGGAUCUUGGUAUAUCACAAUAUUCAUG
rnacentral:lncRNA from 1 species